UACGGGGGGGGCAAGCGUUGUUCGGAAUUACUGGGCGUAAAGGGCUCGUAGGCGGCCAACUAAGUCAGACGUGAAAUCCCUCGGCUUAACCGGGGAACUGCGUCUGAUACUGGAUGGCUUGAGUUUGGGAGAGGGAUGCGGAAUUCCAGGUGUAGCGGUGAAAUGCGUAGAUAUCUGGAGGAACACCGGUGGCGAAGGCGGCAUCCUGGAUCAAUACUGACGCUGAGUGAGCGAAAGCCAGGGGAGCAAACGGG
rnacentral:rRNA from 1 species